AGGGCUUGUUCACCGAAACUUGGUCUCCCCAUGUCGUUCUCUCUCUCACUCUGGCUGAGUCUCCAUCUGGAGCGCGGAACCCACCAUGCUUACUAAUUAUGCCUGGGCUUCUAAGAUCCGACCGGGGAGGCCUCAGUGUCUCCUCUCCUUUGCGAGAAUGGAAGGACGCCUGCAGCCUACGCAAGAAUACUGGAGUGAGUUGCCACUUCCUAUUCCAGAGGAUCUUCCCGACUCAGGAAUGGAACCUACAUGUCUUGUGUCUCCUGCACUGGCAGGUGGAUUCUUUACCACCUGGGAAGCCCAAAACAUACUUAUUUCUCCAUGCUCCUCUGUCUAUGAGAUUUCUCAGCCAAGAAUACCUGAGUGGGUUGCCAUUUCCUUCUCCAGGGGCUCCUCCCAACCCAGGAAUCAAACCUGUGUCUCCUGCAUUGCCAGAGAGAUUCUCUACCACUGAGUCACC
ensembl:lncRNA